rnacentral:lncRNA from 1 species
AGCUAAUGGUCUGUGUAAAAACUGUACUUGAAACAAAGGAAUACACUUUACAAAUUCUGUAAAGAGUGACAAGGCAGUUCUGGAAUCUAAAAAGACAUGUAAAGCACAAAGCAAAGAAGAAAGGAAUGAAAUCUAAGAAGCUAUCAAGGAAGGAAUACAGUCAACACUUCAGUUUACUCAAGCUAAGUAGACCACAGAAGAUAAGCUGUAGUGACCAAGGACUGCUGAAAAAUGUGAACAAGACAGUGCCAUUUGCUGUACUUCACAGUACAUAAAAAAUAUGACAACCAUCUGUCACAUGCAACGAAACAUCCAGUUCAGCAUAUCCACUGCACUACCAAGUACUCCAUACACAAGCUCAUACAUCGUUUACUUUUGGGAGCAUGCAGCAGCACAGCAAGUGCACUGGAGAAGAAGCUACAGAUCACAGAAUGGAUCAACUUGUGUCUUACAAGAGUUGAGCAGAGCACAGCGGUUGCCUUCACAGUAUUCAGCAGAAAUUUUCCCUAGAAUUAAUUCCUCCUGGUGCAGAAGUUCAUCCACAUCUCCAUUUUGCAGUGAUCAGUUACAUGAUAUCCCAUGGACCUCUCUUUCGUGCUGCUAA